CAGGGUGACAGCCCCGUACACAAAAGCGCAUGUGCUGUGAGCUCGAUGAGUAGGGCGGGACACGUGGUAUCCUGUCUGAAUAUGGGGGGACCAUCCUCCAAGGCUAAAUACUCCUGACUGACCGAUAGUGAACCAGUACCGUGAGGGAAAGGCGAAAAGAACCCCGGCGAGGGGAGUGAAAAAGAACCUGAAACCGUGUACGUACAAGCAGUGGGAGCACCCUUUGGGGUGUGACUGCGUACCUUUUGUAUAAUGGGUCAGCGACUUAUAUUCUGUAGCAAGGUUAACCGUAUAGGGGAGCCGGAGGGAAACCGAGUCUUAAUUGGGCGUUAAGUUGCAGGGUAUAGACCCGAAACCCGGUGAUCUAGCCAUGGGCAGGUUGAAGGUUGGGUAACACUAACUGGAGGACCGAACCGACUAAUGUUGAAAAAUUAGCGGAUGACCUGUGGCUGGGGGUGAAAGGCCAAUCAAACCGGGAGAUAGCUGGUUCUCCCCGAAAGCUAUUUAGGUAGCGCCUCGUGAAUUCAUCUCCGGGGGUAGAGCACUGUUUCGGCUAGGGGGCCAUCCCGGCUUACCAACCCGAUGCAAACUGCGAAUACCGGAGAAUGUUAUCACGGGAGACACACGGCGGGUGCUAACGUCCGUCGUGAAGAGGGAAACAACCCAGACCGCCAGCUAAGGUCCCAAAGUCAUGGUUAAGUGGGAAACGAUGUGGGAAGGCCCAGACAGCCAGGAUGUUGGCUUAGAAGCAGCCAUCAUUUAAAGAAAGCGUAAUAGCUCACUGGUCGAGUCGGCCUGCGCGGAAGAUGUAACGGGGCUAAACCAUGCACCGAAGCUGCGGCAGCGACACUCAGGUGUUGUUGGGUAGGGGAGCGUUCUGUAAGCCUGCGAAGGUGGCCUGUGAGGGUUGCUGGAGGUAUCAGAAGUGCGAAUGCUGACAUAAGUAACGAUAAAGCGGGUGAAAAGCCCGCUCGCCGGAAGACCAAGGGUUCCUGUCCAACGUUAAUCGGGGCAGGGUGAGUCGACCCCUAAGGCGAGGCCGAAAGGCGUAGUCGAUGGGAAACGGGUUAAUAUUCCCGUACUUGGUGUUACUGCGAAGGGGGGACGGAGAAGGCUAUGUUGGCCGGGCGACGGUUGUCCCGGUUUAAGCGUGUAGGUGUGUGUUCCAGGUAAAUCCGGUUCACUUUAACACUG
rnacentral:rRNA from 1 species